AACGAACGCUGGCGGCAUGCCUAACACAUGCAAGUCGAACGAGAAAGUACCUUCGGGUGCGAUUAGAGUGGCGCACGGGUGAGUAACGCGUAGAUAAUCUACCCUUGAGACUGGGAUAACUUCUCGAAAGAGAAGCUAAUACCGGAUAAAAGCUUUUGUCGAGUGGCAGAAGUUUGAAAGUUCCGGCGCUCAGGGAGGAAUCUGCGUCCCAUUAGCUAGUUGGUGAGGUAACGGCUCACCAAGGCAACGAUGGGUAGCGGGUCUGAGAGGAUGAUCCGCCACACUGGAACUGAGACACGGUCCAG
rnacentral:rRNA from 1 species